AUACGGAGGGGGCUAGCGUUGUUCGGAAUUACUGGGCGUAAAGCGCGCGUAGGUGGAUCGUUAAGUCAGGGGUGAAAGCCCGGAGCUCAACUCCGGAACUGCCCUUGAUACUGGCGAUCUCGAGUCCGGGAGAGGUGAGCGGAAUCCCUAGUGUAGAGGUGAAAUUCGUAGAUAUUAGGAGGAACACCAGUGGCGAAGGCGGCUCACUGGCCCGGUACUGACGCUGAGGUGCGAAAGCGUGGGGAGCAAACAGGAUUAGAAACCCUAGUAGUCC
rnacentral:rRNA from 1 species